GGGAUUGUAGUUCAAUCGGUCAGAGCACCGCCCUGUCAAGGCGGAAGCUAACACAUAAUUAUUCACAUAUAAGCCUA
rnacentral:tRNA from 1 species